CAGCAGCCGCGGUAAUACCAGCUCUCCGAGUGGUGUGGAUGUUAUUGGGCCUAAAGCAUCCGUAGCUGGCUAGGUAAGUCCCUUGUUAAAUCCACCGAAUUAAUCGUUGGAUCGCGGGGGAUACUGCUUGGCUAGGGGACGAGAGAGGCAGACGGUAUUUUCGGGGUAGGGGUGAAAUCCUAUAAUCCCGGGAAGACCACCAGUGGCGAAGGCUGUCUGCUAGAACGCGCCCGACGGUGAGGGAUGAAAGCUGGGGGAGCGAACCGGAUUAGAUACCCGGGUAGUCCCAGCUGUAAACGAUGCAGACUAGGUGUUUGGACGGCCACGUGCCGUUCUAGUGCCGCAGGGAAGCUGUUAAGUCUGCCGCCUGGGGAGUACGAUCGCAAGAUUGAAACUUAAAGGAAUUGGCGGGGGAGCACCACAAGGGGUGAAGCUUUGCGGUUUAAUUGGAGUCAACGCCGGAAAUCUCACCGGGAGCGACAGCAGUAUGAAAGCCAGAUUGAAGGUCUUGCUAGACGAGCUGAGAGGAGUGGUGCAUGG
rnacentral:rRNA from 1 species